GAGCAUGCUUCUGGAUCUGGAUCCUGGGAAACAAGGAUACAUGACACACAGAAAGAUUAAAGGAAAAAGAGAAGAGAAUGUAAAGACAAAAGAGGGAUACAAGAUGAAGAGUUUUCUCUCUACAGGAUCUGAAUAACUUUCUUCAGUAGGGUGUUUCUUUAUCUACUUAACCUUCAGAGAAAUCAAGUCCAAGAUCACACAAUAAGUGGCAAAAUCCAAAGUUGAACCCAGUGUUUUUCCCCCAACCCCAGCAGCUUCCAUUUGAAGAGGGAAAUCAUUUGAGAGACUAUGAUACACGAUGAAGAGAAGCAGGGAAUCUGCAGAGGCUGUUUAUACGCUCUAUUGAAUAGAGGUCACCCUCAUCAUUGCUGAUUCAAGACAUGGAAGCUGAAGCUGUAAUCAGAUUGGGGCUCAGAAGAAUCCCACAGUUCCAGAAGUCAUUUUAAGAACACUUAGAAAACCCUUGGAAUUCCUCUUCAGGGAGUUUUUAGACCUGCCAAGCCUGCUUUGGAAACCAAAACGUCCUUCUUGCAUCUUUUUAUCUCAGGAAAAAGGUACUUCCUAUGCCAAUUCAAGACCAUGGACCUGAAUCUUAGGGUAAUCAUCCCUUCAAGAAAAGUGAAGUGGGCCAGACGAGGUGGCUCACACC